rnacentral:lncRNA from 10 species
GUGAACUGAGCAAGUGAGGGAUCUAGGUUGCAUGCUUCUUAUGAGAAUCUAAUGCCUGAUGAUCUGUCACUGUCUCCUAUCUCAUCUAAUUGCAGGAAAACAAGCUCAGGGCUCCCACUGAUUGUACAUUAUGGUGAGACGUGGUCUUGUAACACAGUGGUUAAGAAUGUGACUUUGGAGCCAGCCUGCUAGGGGCUGAAUUCUGACUCAGCCAUUUACUAACUGUGUGACCUUAGGGAGGAGGACCUGGUUGAUAGAAGAAUUUAUCUCGUAGUCUUAACAUCCACUGUAAUUCCAAACUUUGAGGACGAUAGAGAUCAGUGGGCUUUGACUGCCCAGCAUGCAGUCUCCAUUCUUAGGUGGGUUCCCAAGCCUGUAAAAUGUAAGCCUUAUGCUGCUGAGGGCCAUCUUGCCACCCUGAGGGAAACGCUGCCUGAGAAUGAAACAAGCAUAAGUAAAAGCUGAGCUGUGAGAUGGAGCAAGAUGAAGGCCACAUGACAUCUUUGGAGCACCUGGAUCUAACUGUGCCUUAAGCUAGUCUAACCCUGAACAUUUCAUCAUUUCAUUGACAUGAGCCCAGGUUUUCUUUUUUUUUGGAUGGAGUCUUGCUCUGUCGCCCAGGCUGGAGUGCAGUAGCUCAAUCUCGGCUCACUGCAAGCUCC